rnacentral:rRNA from 1 species
GGUGAAAAGCACCCCGGAAGGGGAGUGAAAUAGAACCUGAAACCGUGUGCUUACAAGUAGUCAGAGCCCGUUAAUGGGUGAUGGCGUGCCUUUUGUAGAAUGAACCGGCGAGUUACGAUUUGAUGCAAGGUUAAGCAGUAAAUGUGGAGCCGUAGCGAAAGCGAGUCUGAAUAGGGCGUUUAGUAUUUGGUCGUAGACCCGAAACCAGGUGAUCUACCCUUGGUCAGGUUGAAGUUCAGGUAACACUGAAUGGAGGACCGAACCGACUUACGUUGAAAAGUGAGCGGAUGAACUGAGGGUAGCGGAGAAAUUCCAAUCGAACCUGGAGAUAGCUGGUUCUCUCCGAAAUAGCUUUAGGGCUAGCCUCAAGUGAUGAUUAUUGGAGGUAGAGCACUGUUUGGACGAGGGGCCCCUCUCGGGUUACCGAAUUCAGACAAACUCCGAAUGCCAAUUAAUUUAACUUGGGAGUCAGAACAUGGGUGAUAAGGUCCGUGUUCGAAAGGGAAACAGCCCAGACCACCAGCUAAGGUCCCAAAAUAUAUGUUAAGUGGAAAAGGAUGUGGCGUUGCCCAGACAACUAGGAUGUUGGCUUAGAAGCAGCCAUCAUUUAAAGAGUGCGUAAUAGCUCACUAGUCGAGUGACACUGCGCCGAAAAUGUACCGGGGCUAAACAUAUUACCGAAGCUGUGGAUUGUCCUUUGGACAAUGGUAGGAGAGCGUUCUAAGGGCGUUGAAGCAUGAUCGUAAGGACAUGUGGAGCGCUUAGAAGUGAGAAUGCCGGUGUGAGUAGCGAAAGACGGGUGAGAAUCCCGUCCACCGAUUGACUAAGGUUUCCAGAGGAAGGCUCGUCCGCUCUGGGUUAGUCGGGUCCUAAGCUGAGGCCGACAGGCGUAGGCGAUGGAUAACAGGUUGAUAUUCCUGUACCACCUAUAAUCGUUUUAAUCGAUGGGGGGACGCAGUAGGAUAGGCGAAGCGUG